CUGCGCAGCUCAACAAUGUUACCAACAAAUCAGCAGAAACAAUGUCCAGAAACAAUUUUCAAACAUAUUUUCAUUGGGAAAGCAGAUAAAGCAGUUUUUAAAUAAAAAAACAUCACUUUAGCAUAUGAAAAUACAGAUUCCUACUAAUUACGUCACUUUGUAUUGUGCCGACUUCGCCGUAGGACAUAAAGGGGCACCUUACUCACGCACCGGAGGCAUCCCAGUAACAAGUGGGUGUAUGGAAAGCGAACAGCUAAUUGGGAAAAUGUGUUGCCACAAGACUGUUUUGCGUUGCUGCUUGGGCUGGGGUGUAUUCAUCACGUCUUACAACGGAAACCGUUAAGAACAAAACGGAAGCAAACGAUAACGAAACGGCGAGGGACCUACCUGAAUUUGUCCAAUAGAAUCUCGUUUUCAUUGCAAAACUUUUUCCUUUCGGAGUAAACGUAAUGUAAGCGUAAUGAAUACAGCCCUGUUGUGUCUGUUUCAGUGUGUCUCCGUCCGCAGAGAUGAGGCAUAUCACAGUGCGGAAAGCAGCUGAUGGCCGUGUUGUUUCAUCCAAGUUCCAGAAGUACCAAUUGUAUCAUUGCCUCUUCUGCCAGCCCUCCAUUUUCAAGCCCCGAGACUAUGCCAGUGUGUCGGCACACAUUGAGUCUCACAGAUUGAAGGCUGUGCUGCAUAGAGAGUUCACAAUAUUCAUAUGCCAUUUGGAGUGCAGAGCAGCAAAGCAUUUUCACUGCCCAUACUGCCCCAAGACCUAUGUAAAUAGGAGUGAUUUUACCAAACACAUUCCACAAUGUGAGUCAGUAUGUGGGCGAGACCCAGGUGCAACUGCGAGAGGCCCAGAUGUAACCAGUGCAACUGCGAGAGGCCCAGAUGUAACCAGUGCAGAUGUAACCAGUGCAACUGCGAGAGGCCCAGGUUCAGCGUGUCCAGCUAUGAGACCUGCAAGCAAGAGGAAAAUCAAAUGUCGUAACUGCAGUUUAUGGCUUAACAAAAAUAGCCUGAAGAAACAUCAAUUAAGGAAGCAUACAUCUGCUGAGAAGUACAUUACUGCUCACUCCAAUCUCAAAAGACAGUGCUUUGACCAGGACAAUUGGGUGUUUGCAGAGGAUCAACACAUUUUCCCUGUCUCUCCUUCUCCUGCCUCAAUUCGUCGGGCCAUUGACUCCACAAGGUGUCGAAAGCGUUCCACA